CCAACAUAGAUAUCCUAGGAGUCCCUCUCCCCGGACACGUCCAUGGUGGUAUAGAGGCGCAUAGGGCUCUGCUUCGUCUCUUCUACUCCCCUGGCCAUCAAGCUGGGGCUCCAGUCUGUGCCUGCAUGAUCCUACAGCUUUCUCACAGUCCUCUGGAUGAUGACCAAGGAAAGAAGCCAUGAAGAAAACAGUU
rnacentral:snoRNA from 1 species